UACGAAGGGGGCUAGCGUUGCUCGGAAUCACUGGGCGUAAAGCGCACGUAGGCGGAUUGCUAAGUCAGGGGUGAAAUCCUGGAGCUCAACUCCAGAACUGCCCUUGAUACUGGCGGUCUCGAGUCCGGGAGAGGUGAGUGGAACUGCGAGUGUAGAGGUGAAAUUCGUAGAUAUUCGCAAGAACACCAGUGGCGAAGGCGGCUCACUGGCCCGGUAUUGACGCUGAGGUGCGAAAGCGUGGGGAGCAAACAGG
rnacentral:rRNA from 1 species